CAUCAACCUUUGUAAAAGUCGACACACCUUUGAAUUGGACUGAAGCUCAGAGAUACUGCAGGGAGAAUUACGUCGAUCUAGCCAGUAUACGUGAUCAGACCGAAAAUGAUGUCAUCACAAAGCUGGCAGCUGGUGACGAUGUGUGGAUCGGUCUACACUUGGAACAACUGUGGUCUGAUGGGAGCACGUCUCUGUUUCAAUACUGGGCCUAUGGGCAACCGGACAGCACAGAGCAGUGUGUCACCACAGUGUUCAGAAACUCAGGACGGUGGUCAGAUGAUAACUGCUCCCUCACUUUCCCGUUCAUCUGCUACUCAACAACUCCUCCAAAAACAGAAGACUUCAGAUCAAUAGGACAAAAUGAGACCAGUAUCACUCUGCAGUGGAAUAAAGUGAACAACAACUUCAGCUUUAUUCUCCAGUUUAAUGAUGCAGAGAUCAACAUCACUG